rnacentral:rRNA from 1 species
CCCCUAGAUGUUCUGGGCCGCACGCGCGCUACACUGAACAGUUCAACAAGUCUUAACCUUGGCCGAUAGGUCUGGGUAAUCUUUGAACGCUGUUCGUGAUUGGGAUAGACCUUUGCAAUUAUGGGUCUUCAACGAGGAAUUCCUGGUAAACGCAAGUCAUCAGCUUGCAUUGAUUACGUCCCUGCCCUUUGUACACACCGCCCGUCGCACCUACCGAUUGAAUGGUCCGGUGAAAUCUCGGGACGGCGGCUCGGUCGCUUGCGUCCGACUGCUGAAACUUGAUUAAACCAUAUCAUUUAGAGGAAGGUGAAGUCGUAACA